GCGUCUCCUCCCGGCACCCCGGGACCCACGGGUCGUCUCGCGUCCUGCCCGCAGGGACCCCAGAGAGAAGAGGAAUCCCUUGCGGAGUGAUUCUUUUGUUUUCACUGGUGUGACAAUGACAGGGGAGAUUGUCUCUGUGCCGGGAUUUAAACAUGGGUUCUCAGGUCUUCUGAGAAGCAGACACCAGGACAGAAUUUGAUUCUGCAAAAGAUCAAUGUGCAAGAGAUAUAUCAGGGGAAAUGUCUAUGGAGGACAAAGGUAAGAAGAACCAUGAGUAGGAGCAGUUCAGCACUUGGCAGGGAGACAAGAGAUCAAUACCCCAAGACGGAGUGAAUACCUAAGAUGGACUCAACGACUCUCUUACUGUCCAGCUCUCAAGUCCCUUCUCUUGCGAAAAUGGAAAAGUUGAAUUACAGUUAAGAUAUUAUUCCCAGGUGUUCUUUGGAACACAAGGACUUCUCCAAAAGACACAGUACAAAUUGCCUCCAAACAGACAAGAUUCCAGCAGAAGCUGGAGUAGCAGACUACUUGGAUCUUCGAAGUACCUGGUCCUGAGUCACUUAAGGAAGAUCUUUUCUUCUCUUUUGUACAAUACUAUCAUGAGGGCUGCAAAGUGAACUAAGAGCUUCCGCCUUGGUCGUUGACCUCCCAACCCUAAUAAUAUCUUCACUGGCUAAACUUCCCAGUUGAUUUGUCUUUUGGAUAUAAUUUCCCUUCUGCUGUUUGCCUGAUUGAGCAAUCUGCUACAGAACAUGACCAGUUAGCACUCCCACCAACCCCAGUGCUACACUGACUGUCUUUCGAUGGACUUUCCUCCUUGCUGCCUCUCUGAGGUCCCAGACCUUCAGAGUGACCCUCAUAGCUCUGCCCAAGUUUCUGUCAUACUUUUAUCAAGAGAGACAGCUAAAUCAAUAGUUUUAAUGUGCUUUGCUACCAGAAUUCAAUCAUCUGUCACAGUUCCUGCCCAUUAUACCCAAUCAUUAUUGUUAAAAUGUUUCUAGCUUUGUUUGCAGAAUUGUUCUAACUGGUUGACUGAUCCAUUGCUGAGAACUACACUUUGAUGUAUAACUUUAGCAACAUUUGACUAUACUUUUACUAUACUAUUACUUACUAUACAACUCAGAGCAAUACUAUUUUAUGCUUGUGGUUAAUCUAAUUGCAUAAAUCUUUUGCAACUAUUCUCUAUUCUUUUUCUCGUAAUUUCUACCUGGGAAGAUUUUUACUGAUAAUCAUCCUAUCCUGAGUCACCCCACAAACCAAUCUGUCUCACCAAUCAUUGCUUCUAACCUACAGACUAAGCAUAAUUUCCUCUAAAUGAAUAAGAUGCUAUGACUCUAUAAAGUCUUUGAUAUUCAUGUAUAAAUUUAAUCACUUGUAGAUUUUUCAUAAAAAUCAAUCUUUCCCUUCUACAAUUGGGAGUAUUUAUAAGUUGUUUAUCUUAACCAAUUCCUCUAUCAUGCUUCUCACAUUAAAUAAAGCAACCCCUUUGAAUCAA